rnacentral:ncRNA from 1 species
UCGCAAAGCAUAGGGGGAAACGUCGGUGAAGGGCGACACGACAACUGUCGUUCUGAGAAAUACCGGUCGAACUUGAUCUGGAUAAUACCAGCGAAAGGACUUGCUUCUUAGCCUCCCC